rnacentral:lncRNA from 1 species
GUGGAUAUUACCUAAAGGAUGGAUUUUAUAUGGCAAGAUAUAUAAUUGAGGUGAAAUUAUCCUGAAUUAUUUGGGUGUGCCUCCAGUGUAAUCAUAAGUAUCCUCAUGAGAAGGAGGCAGAGGGAGGUACCACACAGUAGAAGAGGAGAAGGCAAUGUGGCCACAGAGGCAGAGGUUGGCAUGAUGCAGCCACAAGCCAAGAAAUACCAGUACCACCAGGAGCUGGAAGAGAGAUGCGGUUUUCCUAGGUUGCUCCUGCUGGUCUCCGACUCCUGAGCUCAAGUAAUCCUCCUGCCUCAGCCUCCCAAAGUGCUAGGAUUGCAGGUAAAUGAUGUCUUGCUUGGGAAUAGAACCCUUGGAGCGUGUAGAUGGGAUACCACGGUCUUCCAGCUCCUAUUGCAGGGCUGCUUUGUGUGGGAAAGCUGGUGGCAGAUCAUGGAAAGACGGCCCAUCAUAGAACCAAACACACGUGAUCACAGGCAUGACGCAAAACAAUGAAGCUUGGUACCUUCCUCUCGCCACAGGAUGUUUGCAACUGCAGCAGCAGAGAAUGAGGAAAGCAGGAGUGUGAUGGAGUCAAGGAAAAAGAAGAAAGCAGUGUUAAACCGUCACUGCAGUGAUUCCAUUUAUGAAGAUCCUGGUACCUAGUCCAUCACUUACAGAAUCUAUACCACUCAUUGCCCUAGGAACAGUAUCUUGGGGGAAGCUCUGGACAUGAACAAAUGCUUUCAGGUCUCCAGACCCUUUGAUUCUUAAGUGAAUCUUUGAAAUCAUGCCCUAGGACCACAGAAGCUAAUGGAAUUUCUCACAUUUCAUGGAUGAUCAAGAGUAAGCAACAUCUCUCCCAGAUUUCCUGGACAACCAGCAGGAGAAGUGACUUUCAACUAGGAUUCUCCUAAGAUGACCACGUGAAAUACUUCUGAUUAUCUACUUUGAUGAAAAUGGCUUAGCCUGGAGUCUUUGACCAUGAUUAACACCCAUGUCUAUGAAAUCACACCUGCAGGCCUACCUGGGGAGCAGUGGUUAUGAGGAGAGCACGCUUAGCACACCGAUGGGCUGGACCCCUAGUGUAAAGGCUACCACACUCCCAAUGGUGUGCAUGUGUGCACAGGUCAGGUUCUGGGCCACUGUGGGACAUCACGUGGAUGAAGGGCAGAGGUUCAGGGCAUACAGCAAGUAAAAAGCAGAGCUGGGACUCGACUAUUUGGGUUUCCUUGUGUUCCUGGGCUCUGUCUGCUGUCCAGGGAAUCUCCCUGUCUGUUUCCAGAGUUGUCUAGGUUGCCAGGGAAGGCCUGCUCACCUCUGGGUGCCCUCCAAUUCCAGCUUUAUGCAAAGAGGGAUAUGAGGCUUACCCCUGUCUUCACGGGCUCAUGGUUGGCAGCUGUGGCCCUGGUCAAUUGGUGCCCUCCCUUGCCACCCAACACCUCCCAGCCAGCUCAGUGAGAAGCAUAAACGCGUGUCGACUUACGGGUCUUUCUAGCUGAGUCUUCAAUGAAGAGCGAGGAGAUAUCUUCAUCCACACCCACUUCAUUUUUGGCAAUGCAGGUGUAUGCCCCUGUGUCUUCAUACCGAACACUGCUGAUGUGGAGUUCGCUCCCAUUGGCUGCAGACAGGACAGUGCUCAGGGUGGACUGCUCAGCUGGAGACCCACUCACUUUCCUUUAUGGGGCCAUUGAGAGUGUUAGGGCUGCCCAGCCCCUGGGCAGCCAGCAGCCCUGAUUAUACGCCCAGGAAGGGCUGGCACAUCUGAAAUGCACUGAGGGUGAGCUGGACCUGAGUGACAGCUUCUCAUCAUUGCUGUCAGAAAGCCCCAAAAGAUCUGUGUGAGCCCAGAUAACAGGGAAAUUUGGGAGCCAUCUGUUCACUCCUAACCUGUCUGACUUAUAAACAAAUUAUACCUCUCGUUUCCAUUCCUGGAGUCUCAGCUUGAUUUGAAUGGGAAUAUCGCAUAGACGUCUACCAAGGGCAGUUCUUACCUAAAAGGGAGAGCUGUUUGGACAUCUGAGUUGAGACAUCCACGCCGUUUUUCAGCCAAGUGAUUCUGGGCAUGGGAAUGCCCUCAGCAUG